rnacentral:rRNA from 1 species
CAUGGCUCAGGAUGAACGCUAGCUACAGGCUUAACACAUGCAAGUCGAGGGGAAACGACAUCGAAAGCUUGCUUCCGAUGGGCGUCGACCGGCGCACGGGUGAGUAACGCGUAUCCAACCUGCCCACCACUUGGGGAUAACCUUGCGAAAGUAAGACUAAUACCCAAUGAUAUCUCUAGAAGACAUCUGAAAGAGAUUAAAGAUUUAUCGGUGAUGGAUGGGGAUGCGUCUGAUUAG